UACAGAGGUCUCAAGCGUUGUUCGGAUUCAUUGGGCGUAAAGGGUGCGUAGGCGGCGCGGUAAGUCGGAUGUGAAAUCUCGGAGCUUAACUCCGAAACUGCAUUCGAUACUGCCGUGCUUGAGGACUGGAGAGGAGACUGGAAUUUACGGUGUAGCGGUGAAAUGCGCAGAUAUCAGGAGGAACACCGGUGGCGAAGGCGGGUCUCUGGGCCGUAACUGACGCUGAGGAGCGAAAGCGUGGGGAGCGAACAGG
rnacentral:rRNA from 1 species